CCUACGGGGGGCAGCAGUGAGGAAUAUUGGUCAAUGGACGAGAGUCUGAACCAGCCAAGUAGCGUGAAGGAUGACUGCCCUAUGGGUUGUAAACUUCUUUUAUAAAGGAAUAAAACGAGGCACGUGUGCCGUUUUGCAUGUACUUUAUGAAUAAGGAUCGGCUAACUCCGUGCCAGCAGCCGCGGUAAUACGGAGGAUCCGAGCGUUAUCCGGAUUUAUUGGGUUUAAAGGGAGCGUAGAUGGGUUGUUAAGUCAGUUGUGAAAGUUUGCGGCUCAACCGUAAAAUUGCAAUUGAUACUGGCAGUCUUGAGUACAGUUGAGGUAGGCGGAAUUCGUGGUGUAGCGGUGAAAUGCAUAGAUAUCACGAAGAACCCCGAUUGCGAAGGCAGCUUACUAGACUGUGACUGACAUUGAUGCUCGAAAGUGUGGGUAUCAAACAGGAUUAGAUACCCUUGUAGUC
rnacentral:rRNA from 1 species